rnacentral:rRNA from 1 species
AUUGAACGCUGGCGGCAGGCCUAACACAUGCAAGUCGAAUGGUAACAGGAAACAGCUUGCUGUUUCGCUGACGAGUGGCGGACGGGUGAGUAAUGUCUGGGAAACUGCCUGAUGGAGGGGGAUAACUACUGGAAACGGUAGCUAAUACCGCAUAACGUCGCAAGACCAAAGAGGGGGACCUUCGGGCCUCUUGCCAUCCGAUGUGCCCAGAUGGGAUUAGCUAGUAGGUGGGGUAACGGCUCACCUAGGCGACGAUCCCUAGCUGGUCUGAGAGGAUGACCAGCCACACUGGAACUGAGACACGGUCCAGACUCCUACGGGAGGCAGCAGUGGGGAAUAUUGCACAAUGGGCGCAAGCCUGAUGCAGCCAUGCCGCGUGUAUGAAGAAGGCCUUCGGGUUGUAAAGUACUUUCAGCGGGGAGGAAGGGAGUAAAGUUAAUACCUUUGCUCAUUGACGUUACCCGCAGAAGAAGCACCGGCUAACUCCGUG